rnacentral:rRNA from 1 species
AGAGUUUGAUCAUGGCUCAGGACGAACGCUGGCGGCGUGCCUAAUACAUGCAAGUCGAGCGAGCUUGCCUAGAUGAUUUUGGUGCUUGCACUAAAUGAAACUAGAUACAAGCGAGCGGCGGACGGGUGAGUAACACGUGGGUAACCUGCCCAAGAGACUGGGAUAACACCUGGAAACAGAUGCUAAUACCGGAUAACAACACUAGACGCAUGUCUAGAGUUUGAAAGAUGGUUCUGCUAUCACUCUUGGAUGGACCUGCGGUGCAUUAGCUAGUUGGUAAGGUAACGGCUUACCAAGGCAAUGAUGCAUAGCCGAGUUGAGAGACUGAUCGGCCACAUUGGGACUGAGACACGGCCCAAACUCCUACGGGAGGCAGCAGUAGGGAAUCUUCCACAAUGGACGAAAGUCUGAUGGAGCAACGCCGCGUGAGUGAAGAAGGGUUUCGGCUCGUAAAGCUCUGUUGGUAGUGAAGAAAGAUAGAGGUAGUAACUGGCCUUUAUUUGACGGUAAUUACUUAGAAAGUCACGGCUAACUACGUGCCAGCAGCCGCGGUAAUACGUAGGUGGCAAGCGUUGUCCGGAUUUAUUGGGCGUAAAGCGAGUGCAGGCGGUUCAAUAAGUCUGAUGUGAAAGCCUUCGGCUCAACCGGAGAAUUGCAUCAGAAACUGUUGAACUUGAGUGCAGAAGAGGAGAGUGGAACUCCAUGUGUAGCGGUGGAAUGCGUAGAUAUAUGGAAGAACACCAGUGGCGAAGGCGGCUCUCUGGUCUGCAACUGACGCUGAGGCUCGAAAGCAUGGGUAGCGAACAGGAUUAGAUACCCUGGUAGUCCAUGCCGUAAACGAUGAGUGCUAAGUGUUGGGAGGUUUCCGCCUCUCAGUGCUGCAGCUAACGCAUUAAGCACUCCGCCUGGGGA